UACGUAGGGAGCAAGCGUUGUUCGGAUUUACUGGGCGUAAAGGGCGCGUAGGCGGCGCGGUAAGUCACUUGUGAAAUCUCUGAGCUUAACACAGAACGGCCAAGUGAUACUGCAGUGCUAGAGUGCAGAAGGGGCAAUCGGAAUUCUUGGUGUAGCGGUGAAAUGCGUAGAUAUCAAGAGGAACACCUGAGGUGAAGACGGGUUGCUAGGCUGACACUGACGCUGAGGCGCGAAAGCCAGGGGAGCAAACGGG
rnacentral:rRNA from 1 species